rnacentral:rRNA from 1 species
GUCGAACGAGAAUCUUUGGAAUGAUUCUUUCGGGAUGAAUUCCAAAGAGGACAGUGGCGGACGGGCGAGUAACGCGUGAGUAACCUGCCCAUAAGAGGGGGAUAAUCCAUGGAAACGUGGACUAAUACCGCAUAUUGUAGUUAAGUUGCAUGACUUGAUUAUGAAAGAUUUAUCGCUUAUGGAUGGACUCGCGUCAGAUUAGAUAGUUGGUGAGGUAACGGCUCACCAAGUCAACGAUCUGUAGCCGAACUGAGAGGUUGAUCGGCCGCAUUGGGACUGAGACACGGCCCAGACUCCUACGGGAGGCAGCAGUGGGGAAUAUUGCGCAAUGGGGGCAACCCUGACGCAGCAACGCCGCGUGCAGGAAGAAGGUCUUCGGAUUGUAAACUGUUGUCGCAAGGGAAGAAGACAGUGACGGUACCUUGUGAGAAAGUCACGGCUAACUACGUGCCAGCAGCCGCGGUAAUACGUAGGUGACAAGCGUUGUCCGGAUUUACUGGGUGUAAAGGGCGCGUAGGCGGACUGUCAAGUCAGUCGUGAAAUACCGGGGCUUAACCCCGGGGCUGCGAUUGAAACUGACAGCCUUGAGUAUCGGAGAGGAAAGCGGAAUUCCUAGUGUAGCGGUGAAAUGCGUAGAUAUUAGGAGGAACACCAGUGGCGAAGGCGGCUUUCUGGACGACAACUGACGCUGAGGCGCGAAAGUGUGGGGAGCAAACAGGAUUAGAUACCCUGGUAGUCCACACCGUAAACGAUGGAUACUAGGU